CGACUGUUCGCGACUUUUGGGUUGGGACUUUGGGGAGAUGUGUCAUAACGAUGAGACAUGAUAAGUGGCUAGUUAUUUUAUUAGGUGCAUGUUUUUCUAUACAGUAUUUUCUAUGAUAUUUUUGUAUACAAGUUUUUUAGGUUAUAUUUUAUUUUUACAAUUAAAGGUGGAGGAAUGAUGUGUUUAUGGUCAUCCUCUAUGUAGUCUAUGGUCACCUCUUUUCACAUUACUAAUAAAAUGGCGGCAAACAAGCAAAUA